GAUGAACGCUGGCGGCGUGCCUAAUACAUGCAAGUCGAGCGAACAGACGAGGAGCUUGCUCCUUCGACGUUAGCGGCGGACGGGUGAGUAACACGUAGGUAACCUACCUAUAAGACUGGGAUAACUUCGGGAAACCGGAGCUAAUACCGGAUAAUAUUUCGAACCGCAUGGUUCGAUAGUGAAAGAUGGCUUUGCUAUCACUUAUAGAUGGACCUGCGCCGUAUUAGCUAGUUGGUAAGGUAACGGCUUACCAAGGCAACGAUACGUAGCCGACCUGAGAGGGUGAUCGGCCACACUGGAACUGAGACACGGUCCAGACUCCUACGGGAGGCAGCAGUAGGGAACCUUCCGCAAUGGGCGAAAGCCUGACGGAGCAACGCCGCGUGAGUGAUGAAGGUCUUCGGAUCGUAAAACUCUGUUAUUAGGGAAGAACAAACGUGUAAGUAACUGUGCACGUCUUGACGGUACCUAAUCAGAAAGCCACGGCUAACUACGU
rnacentral:rRNA from 1 species